AUGAAACUCAACAUUUUGAAAAGUAAUAUGCAUUGGAGUGUUUCUCAGGAAAAGAAGAACAUCUGUAACUGGUUUCGAGAAAUGUCCUUGCGGAUGAAGGUGCCUAGGAGAGUGAUUCUGGAGAAGGAUAGGCCAAAGGAUGCUGGCAGAAGCCACAGUGAAAACGGAGCUCUCCAAGCAGGAAGAGGCAUCGUCAGCGUGGUCUUCAUCAUCAUCGUCCUCAUCGCUAGCGCCAGCAGACUGAGGAGACCCACCAGACCACUGAGUGCUCCUGGGCAUCACUUACCACGACAAACAUUGCACGCGGCUAAGGAACACGUUCUUUACCCCCAUUUAAUAGAUUAGGAAACCGAAGCUUAGAAUCCCAUGGUUAGUAAGGUGGAGCUGGAAUUCAGGUCCCGUAUCUAUUUAAAUCUCAAGUUUUAUAUUUUUUACCACUUCCCUAUACUGUCCUAAUAUGUCUUAAUUAUAGAGAAGAAGACGGAAAAAGUAGAAGGAGACUCUCAAUCCAAUUUACUUUCCACUUAGAAUGAAGUGGAGAAACUCCUGUAAGAUUUAAUCAGUUCUUAGGGUUUGAACCUUGGUCCUUAACCCCUGCAACCUGAGUUUGCCAACACACACAAGCUAUCGCUUUCCCUCAUCGACUAAGCAGCGAAACUCUGGACUUUCCUGCAUUUGCAUGAAAGCCUCACUUACAUAAACGCGUGCAUAUAUUUACUAGAUUUUAUGAAAUUUUUGGGAUGUGGUUGGGGGAUAGAAGAACAGUUUACAUUGUCAGAAAGCAAAUAACUUCAAUCUGAACGUCAGAUACCACUCAGCCCCCGGCCUGUACACGGUCAGGUCAUCCUCCGUGUCCUAUCCGCAGGUCAUCUCCUCUUCUGGCCCCUUUCACAGUCUGUUCUGGAUUGUUUCCCAAACUCCACGUUCUUCUUAUUCUAUUAAGUAGGGCCGUUCAGUUUUCUCCAGCUUCAGACUCUACUUGGUGCUCACCUUUGUGAAUCCAAAUCCAUCAAGAUGCUCAAUAGAGCCACAGGGCUCUCUAUAUUACAGACUCCACCUCUCCUAGAAGACAGGUGGUAGAAAUGUCCUCUCUAGGGCCACCACCCUUGAGAGACUGGACCCACUCCUGCAAGGACCUAGCAGAGCCUUAAAUCACUGCUAAGGGUAAUCCAGCAUCCCACACCCCUCCUGCUAGCCUGAACCAAGCAGAUUCCCCAGAGACUUAAUUUUGCUGGGUCUAGGUCUGGGUCUCUGCCUUCUGCUACUUCUGGGCUAGGCUGCAGUUUCUGGAACCCAGGGGACUGCUUGGGCUUCUGGGCUCCUUAAAGGGCAUUUGGCACCCUGUAAAAACUGCUUAUUAAAGGAAACAGUAGGACUGCUUCCCCUUUUAUAGCCUAGCCAUGGAAAGUAUGACCCACUUGGGGAGGUUGGAGGUGGAAGAUCGUAGACUUUGAGACAGUAGGUCGAGCCUGUAGAUGGAAAACAUGGGCCCUCGAGCUCUGAGGCCAAGUUCCUGGUGGUCAAAAGCCCAGUGAGGGCUCUACAACAAAUAAUGACAGCAGUUAAGACAUUCAACGGUUGAGCUUCGAGCUGAAGUUUCACAUUUUGCUUUUUUUCCUUCUUCUUCUUCACUCUUGAGGUUUGGCUCACCACUUUUUCCUCUCUCCUGAGGUCCUGUUCAUACAAGAGUGUCAUUAAGGCAUCUGCAAGGGGGGGCGAACGGUGACCAUGUCACACAGGAAGGCUGGCUGGCUGGCUGGAACUCCGCCCUCCUCCUCCUCCUCCUCCUCCUCCUCCUCCUCCUCUAGCUGGCCUGAAUCUCUUUGGUUUUUAGUUCUUCCUGAAGGGUCUUGGCAUGGAUGGCCUGCGUCUCUUUUCAAAAAUAAUUAGAACCAAAGGAAUUCAAAUUACAUCCUUUCUUGCCGUUAAUGCUGUUUUGCCAUAGUUUGUGAGGUAGGUAGGUGGAAGCAGGGUACCACUGGGACAUUUGGGUUUCCUUCCUGGACCUGAACCCAGUCAACUUCUCCUGCAGAGUAUGCCCAGGCUGCGCUAGCCCCUGAAACAUGAACGGCAAGUUAUGAGCACACGUGAGGCUCUUCGCACUCCCAAACUUGUGGCAGAAAUUACUAAUGAACCAAGGCUUCUUUACCCCCCCUCAGCUGAGCCUGGACGAUCCUGUGAUCCUCCUUAAUACAACUCGCCCAGCAGCUACUACUGGUUCUUGAGGUUGGCUUAGUGAUUGGAAUCCGCUUAGCUUCCCUGGUCCUUACCCUACGUUGCUCUGAGGCCCGGGAGGCGCGGCCUUGGCCUUCUCCGCAGGGGCUCGGCCAAAGGCAAGGUUAGUUGCAUAAAUUGUACGUUUGCUUCUGAAUCCAAAUGAAGCUCCUUCCCAAGCCUUCAGAUAUCUCGUACCUUCUUUCUCCCCUCUCCUGUCUACGUCCACUCUUCCUCUGCUCAGAAUGCACGCUGGCCUCCCAGGGAAGACUCUCUGCUUUCCAGGAUACUUGCUGUCAGUGAUGAAAGGGCCCACCUACUUCAGCUGAGACUCCCUUAGCCAUAAAUUUACACCACUUAACAGCAAUUAUUUUGGGUUGGGCCUUCAGUUAAAAUGAGAAAUACAUUACCUAGAAGAAACUGAGCUGUCUGGAGUUUCUGGAAUGUUGAGUGGGUGGCAGCUGGUUGACAGAAUGGUUGACUCAGGGUACUAGGGUGGAUAGAGCGGAACUCAAAUUGCUAUUAGACCACUUACUUGUCGGGUGACCUUUGGAUAGUUAAUUGAACCUCUUUGAACAUCCGUUUCCUCAUCAGUAAAACCCUAAGUCCUUAUCUGAUGUUGUGUUAUGAGGAGAAAAUAAGUUCAUACCUGUAAGGUACCUGGCACGGUUUGGCAAGUUCUGUGUACACGUGAGGCCCCUCCCCCCACCCCACCCUGGUGGCAGAUAACACUAAUGGACUGACAUGCUCCAUGAAUUUGUGCUGAUUUUAAUCUCUGCUUAUUGGCCACUUGACCAAAAGAUGACAUUAGUUGUCCAAGGUCGCACAGCUACUAAGGGAUAGAACUGGGUUUUGAUUCUAGGUCUACAGGAAACUACCUUGUUAUUCUUAACUACUGGCUGACGUUAGGCAAACUACCCCAAUCACUGGUUUCCUAGAGGAAGAAGUCAUUUCCUCACCUGGAAAAUGGAGGCCGUGUAACCUAUCCUACUGAGCUACUACAAGGAUGAAAUCCAUCAGUGUUGCAGCGGAAGGUGUGAUAUGUUAUGACUACGUGCUCUCACCUAUUUGCUGUCAUUGUCGUUGUCGUCGUUGUCGUCGUCGUCGUCGUCCUCCUCCUCCUCAUUAUCACUGUUGUUAGAUUUUUUUCUGCAUCUGCUCCCCCCUCCCCGGCACCCGGCACUGUAGCUAGCAUGUGACAGGUGUUUAGGAUGCGUUAGCAGCUCAGUGAGGGCAGCAUAUGGUAUUGUUACUCUAGUCAGGGAGGAGAAACGAAUGACUUUUGGGGCUGAGAACUCUGGCUGACCUCCUGGAAUCCUCAUAAACAAUUCCAGGAAACCUCUUUCUAGCUACCUUGGGAAAAGCCCGAAGAAGUAGCUCAGCCAAGCAAGGUUCAGAAGCUCUUCCCAGGCCCCACCGGAUCUUGGCUGUUUAUGGGUAUCCUGCAGGGGUUGACCUCCUAAAUGGCCAGUAAGAUAAGACUCGUUCUCUCAGGUUCAUGAGGGAAUAGCUCGUAGGCCUCCCGUGUGUGGGAAGAACAGAUGAUUGGAUCAUGUGGGAAAGGAGAUCUCAUUAACUGUUGUGUCCCUAUUUUUAACACCAAUGCCUGAAAUAGACCACUCCUGUUGAGAUUGUUUAGAGAGGUGUUUCUGUCACCAAGAGCUCCAAGAAAAUCAGGAUUCCCUGAGCUAUGGCCUGAACUAUACCCGGACAAAUGCUAACAUAAGAUUAAUUAUCUGGAUUAUUAUGCUUCCCCAUUCCUGGUAGGGACUCACUGAUUUGGGCAGCCUUCCUUUAACCUCUCAGUGGUCAUUUCCUUCUUGCAAACAUGUGAGUUCCAGUGAUGGCAACUUUUAUCUCUAUUGACCAAAUGGAAGUGGUAUACUUUGCUUCCAGAAUGCAUAUAUCUGUUUUUCCUCACGGUUCACCUGUUUUGUUUUUUUUAAAUAUUUUUAUAAGCUUUUAACUUCCAAAUAAUUGGAGAUUUACAAAAGUUGCAAAGAUAGUACAGAUAGUUCUCAUAUCCUUCACCCAACUUUCCCUAACAUCUUGCACAAUCACGGUACAUUUGUCAGAACUGGAAAUUAACAUCAGUACCAGUGAUAGUAACCAAGGCACAGAUUUUUUUUUGUGGAUUUUUUUUUUUUUGAUUCCAUGAUCCCACCCAGGAUUUCACAAUGUUGUAUUUUUUGUUUUUUAAAAAAGAUUUUAUUUAUUUAUUUAUUUAUUUAUUUAUUUAUUUAUUUGAGAAAGAGAAAGAGAGAGAGGUGAGGGGCAGAGGGAGAAGCAGACUCCCUGCUGAGCAGGGAGCCCAGUGUAGGGCUCUAUCCCAGGACCCCAGGAGCAUGACCUGAGCUGAAGGCAGAUGUUUCACCAAGUAAGCCACCCAGGCACCCUGACUUUCCUUGUUUUUUGAUGAACUUGAUACUUUUGAGGAGUACUCAUCAGGCAUUUUGUAGACUGUCCCUCAGUUGGAAUUUGUCUUGCGUUGCUUCCUCAUAAUUAGACUAGGGUUAUGGCUUUUUGGGCAAAGACUAUAGAUGUAAAGUGCCUUUUUUAUCGUAUCAUAUAAAGGGCAUGUACUCUCACAUAAUUUAUGAUUGUUGAUGUUGGCUUUGAUAUCACGGCUGAGGUAGUGUUAGGUGUUACUCCACAAAGUUACUCCCCCUAUCCAUACUGUACUCUUCAUCAGAAAGUCCCGAUGAAUAGCCCAUCUUUACGGAGAUUAUUAUGCUUCCCCAUUCCUGGUAGGGACUCACUGAUUUGGGCAGCCUUCCUUUAACCUCUCAGUGAUCAUUUCCUUCUUGCAAACAUGUGAGUUCCAGUGAUGGCAACUUUUAUCUCUAUUGACCAAUGGAAGUGGUAUACCUUGCUUCCAGAAUGCAUAUAUCUGUUUUUCCUCAUGGUUCACCUGUUGUUGUUGUUGUUGUUUUUAAUAUUUUUAUAAGCUUUAACUUCCAAAUAAUUGGAGAUUUACAGAAAAGUUGCAAAGAUAGUGCAGAUAGUUC
rnacentral:lncRNA from 1 species